UCUCUCCCCUUGUUCUGUGAUGGCUCCAUCUACAAACCUGUAUCUGGGACCUGCCUCAUCCCAUUCCCAUCUAAAUGGACUGUAACAAAGCAGAGAAGUUUGAUUUUGUGUUGCAGUAUCUCAACAAAAUGGCUGGGAAUGAAUACAUGGGUUUCAGCAAUGCCACAUUCCAGUCAGAGAAGGAAACAGGGGAUCGGAAUUAUGCCAUCGGCUAUUAUCUCAAGGAAAAGAAGUGCUUUCCUAAGGGGGUGGACAUGAUGGCUGCCCUUGAUCUCUACUUCCAGCUGUGCUCUGUGGAGGUCACUUGUGAAUCAGGCAGUGUCAUGGCAGCCACCCUCGCCAAUGGUGGGAUCUGCCCCAUCACAGGCGAGAGUGUGCUGAGUGCUGAAGCAGUGCGCAACACCCUCAGCCUCAUGCAUUCCUGCGGCAUGUAUGACUUCUCUGGCCAGUUUGCCUUCCACGUGGGCCUGCCAGCCAAGUCAGCUGUAUCA
rnacentral:sRNA from 2 species